rnacentral:rRNA from 1 species
UACAGGGGGGCAAGCGUUGUUCGGAAUUACUGGCGUAAGGGUUCGUAGGUGGCUUGCUAAGUCACACGUGAAAUCCCUCAGCUUAACUGGGGAACUGCGUGUGAAACUGGCGAGCUUGAGGGUAGGAGAGGAAUGCGGAAUUCCAGGUGUAGCGGUGAAAUGACGUAGAUAUCUGGAGGAACACCGGUGGCGAAGGCGGCAUUCUGGACUAUUCUGACACUGAUGAACGAAAGCCAAGGGGAG